rnacentral:snoRNA from 12 species
GCCCUGUGGUUACUGGAUGCUGUUGUGUAAGUGCAGCUCUCCAGUGGAUAUAAAGGGCUACAGCAACUCUGUGAUUUAUGCAUGGGGGCUGUUUCUCCUCCGCGGCCUCCAUAGCCCGGUCACUGAUACAUGA